rnacentral:rRNA from 1 species
AAUGAACGCUGGCGGCAUGCCUAACACAUGCAAGUCGAACGAGACCUUCGGGUCUAGUGGCGCACGGGUGCGUAACGCGUGGGAACAUGCCUUUAGGUUCGGAUUAACUCCCCGAAAGGGGUGCUAAUACCGGAUAAUGUCUUCGGACCAAAGAUUUAUCGCCUUUGGAUGGGCCCGCGUUGGAUUAGCUAGUUGGUAGGGUAAAAGCCUACCAAGGCGACGAUCCAUAGCUGGUCUGAGAGGAUGAUCAGCCACACUGGGACUGAGACACGGCCCAGACUCCUACGGGAGGCAGCAGUGGGGAAUAUUGGACAAUGGGCGAAAGCCUGAUCCAGCAAUGCCGCGUGAGUGAUGAAGGCCUUAGGGUUGUAAAGCUCUUUUACCCGGGAUGAUAAUGACAGUACCGGGAGAAUAAGCUCCGGCUAACUCCGUG